rnacentral:rRNA from 1 species
AUAGGUGGGAGGCUUUGAAGUGUGGACGCCAGUCUGCAUGGAGCCGACCUUGAAAUACCACCCUUUAAUGUUUGAUGUUCUAACGUGGACCCGUAAUCCGGGUUGCGGACAGUGUCUGGUGGGUAGUUUGACUGGGGCGGUCUCCUCCUAAAGAGUAACGGAGGAGCACGAAGGUUGGCUAAUCCUGGUCGGACAUCAGGAGGUUAGUGCAAUGGCAUAAGCCAGCUUGACUGCGAGCGUGACGGCGCGAGCAGGUGCGAAAGCAGGUCAUAGUGAUCCGGUGGUUCUGAAUGGAAGGGCCAUCGCUCAACGGAUAAAAGGUACUCCGGGGAUAACAGGCUGAUACCGCCCAAGAGUUCAUAUCGACGGCGGUGUUUGGCACCUCGAUGUCGGCUCAUCACAUCCUGGGGCUGAAGUAGGUCCCAAGGGUAUGGCUGUUCGCCAUUUAAAGUGGUACGCGAGCUGGGUUUAGAACGUCGUGAGACAGUUCGGUCCCUAUCUGCCGUGGGCGCUGGAGAACUGAGGGGGGCUGCUCCUAGUACGAGAGGACCGGAGUGGACGCAUCACUGGUGUUCGGGUUGUCAUGCCAAUGGCACUGCCCGGUAGCUAAAUGCGGAAGAGAUAAGUGCUGAAAGCAUCUAAGCACGAAACUUGCCCCGAGAUGAGUUCUCCCUGAGACUUAGAGUCUCCUGAAGGAACGUUGAAGACGACGACGUUGAUAGGCCGGGUGUGUAAGCGCAGCGAUGCGUUGAGCUAACCGGUACUAAUGAACCGUGAGGCUUAACCUUAC